AUUGAACGCUGGCGGCAGGCCUAACACAUGCAAGUCGAGCGAGCGGCGGACGGGUGAGUAAUGUCUGGGAAACUGCCUGAUAGAGGGGGAUAACUACUGGAAACGGUGGCUAAUACCGCAUACUAUCAGAUGUGCCCCGAUGGGAUUAGCUUGUUGGUGGGGUAAAGGCUCACCAAGGCGACGAUCCCUAGCUGGUCUGAGAGGAUGAGCAGCCACACUGGAACGGAGACACGGCCCAGACUCCUACGGGAGGCAGCAGUGGGGAAUAUUGCACAAUGGGCGCAAGCCUGAUGCAGCCAUGCCGCGUGUAUGAAGAAGGCCUUAGGGUUGUAAAGUACUUUCAGCGGGGAGGCGUUACCCGCAGAAGAAGCACCGGCUAACUCCGUGCCAGCAGCCGCGGUAAUUC
rnacentral:rRNA from 1 species